UUAAAUUGAAGAGUUUGAUCAUGGCUCAGAUUGAACGCUGGCGGCAGGCCUAACACAUGCAAGUCGAACGGUAACAGGAAGCAGCUUGCUGCUUUGCUGACGAGUGGCGGACGGGUGAGUAAUGUCUGGGAAACUGCCUGAUGGAGGGGGAUAACUACUGGAAACGGUGGCUAAUACCGC
rnacentral:rRNA from 1 species